UCCUGAACGAGACCGAAUCUCAGCCGAAGCUGGAGCCCAGGCAGCCAACCUGCCCCUGUGGCUAGAACAUUAAACAUGCUUUGCAGUUUCCAUAUCAUGCCCCUUCCCCACUCCCCCACCGUAUCGCAGCGCACCGCACCGCAGAGACUCAGCUCUGGCAUAGUCGUAAAGUCGAAAACAAGUUUUGGCAGCAGCAGCUGGAACUGCGGUUGCGAGAGAGCGGAGCGAGAGAGAGCGGAGAAUGUGAGGAAAGCCAACCAGAAGCCAGAAUCCAGAAGCUGAAGCUGAAAGAAGAGUCAAAGGCAAAGCUGAGGAAUUGAUGGGCACAUUGAGUAAUCCCCAAAUUGGUGUGCUUUGGUAUCCUGCUGUUGCUGUUGCUGGCUGGCUGCUGGCUGAUCCCCAGAGCUAAAGUACAUUUUGAAAGGCGCCAUUUUGGUGUGGCCAGACUAGCGCAAGCAAAUAAUAGCCAGAGCCACAGGCUCGGCUCUCAGGCAAACACCGAGAGCCUCGAGAGUUGUUUUUUAGUGGAGAGGCGACCUUCGCUUUGCAUUUUUUGCAGGCUGCUUGCGGCUGCAUUCUGCACAGCUUUGGCGGAGGAAAUCGGCCUCCAUUUCAACACAGCCACGGAUUUAAUGACACACAAACACACAGAUAUACUGACGCUCUCUCACACACACGAACAUACACACACACACACACAUUAUUAACUGAAGCCAUCGCCACCACCCUCUGCAGAGCCGAGCAAUGAAACGGAUGGACGGAUGGUGGAAAGCAAGCAUAAGGGAAAACAGUGACAGUGACAGCAGCGGAGAGGAGACGAGACGAGACGAAGAAGACGGAGGCGACUGACAGCGGGGCCAGGCAAGCAGCAAGCCGAGCGACAACAAAACAGACGAAUAAAGGAAAAUGCACGCACACACAGCCACUAGCGACACUAGCGACGGGAAUAUAGCAUAGCACUCUCAUGUACAUAAAGUGUGCAAAAACGUUGGCAGGCCAGGCGCAGGCAGGGCAAUUGUAAACACUGGCCACACUGGCCAUACGAAGAGCGGCCAAACCAUCUCAGUGGGCCAGGCCGUGCCGGGCCAGCGGAAACUGGCCCAAGAAUUUUCACCAAAUGGAAAAGUUGUUAAAGAAUUGGCAGAGUUGCCAACAGCGUUCGUUGGCGAGCAAACGUCCGCCUCGGCAACUCUCGCACAACACACACAAACAGAGAGCCACACUACUCGCUCGUUCGCUCACUCACUCACUCUCACACACAACACACGCACACAGAGAGGCAUGCACGUUCGGCCAAAUGAAAAACUGUGGAAAUUGUGCGGACCUAAGGGUCGACAAAAAACAGUUGCGAAAAAAACAAAAAAAUAAAUAAAUGAAGCAAACUUUACAAAAUUUGCUGUUUUCUUUUCAAUCUGUUCUCUUCUUUGCUACAACAACAACAAGCAUGACGCGCGAACGGAACAGCACUCACUUGUCUCUUUCGUUUCACUUUUGAAUUGCUUUUCGCAUUUGCUUUUUCAUUGAAACCGAGCGGGAGCCGAAACGAAACCGAGCCCGAAAGCCGAA